rnacentral:lncRNA from 1 species
UUACUUAGCCCUAAAAAAAUAAAUCAUGAUAGUUUCUUCUCUACUUCUACUUGCAAAACUUUAUUUCUUCUUUUUUUUAUCCUCCAUAAUUGGUUUUCUUGCCACUUCACCAUUUUCCCCUUAGUCACUUCCCUCCUGUAUUAACACCUCUGAAUCUGUCUCAAUCUUUACCUUGCUAAAACCCGGCUCCUUUGCUAACUUAACCGCUUCUCUCACAGCCGAUGCUUCAACCACCAAAGCUGAGCCAGCUAGAGCCUCUUCUGGAGCCCUCCAUUUUUCUUGCGUUUGCUUGUUCACACUUUUUUUUUUUUUUUCUCCAUCUGACUGUCAUUCAGAAUCUUUUCAGCAAAGAAAUUUGUGAAUUUUGAAUUAAUUGAUUUUAGAAGAACAUAAGCACGUUCACUUCCAAAAUUUCAUCCUGAUUAACUAUGCAAAAAUAAUUAGUGUUUGUUUUGUAUACAAUAAUAAUAUUCUACACGUUUUCCCAACCACAUGCUUGCCAAAGUGAUAGUGACGCCAAGCUUUAGAAAUAAGUAAUGAGUCUUUAUGAUUGUUCCUUUUUUUUUUUUUUGUAUUCCCAGAAAAAUGAAUGAUUGUACCUUGUUUCCAUUCUUUCUUUUUUUUUUCCCAAAACACCUUGUUUACAUUAAUACUUUGUAACUUUACAGCAG